GCCAGGUGCGGUGGCACACGCCUGUAAUCCCAUAAGUUUGGGAGGUUGAGACAGGAGGAUCUCGAGUUCAAAGUCAGCUUCAGCACCGGAGAGGCACUAAGCAACUUGGUGAGACCCUGUCUCUA
rnacentral:sRNA from 1 species